rnacentral:rRNA from 1 species
CAGUCGCCGCGGUAAUACGGAGGGUGCAAGCGUUAAUCGGAAUUACUGGGCGUAAAGCGUGCGUAGGCGGUUCGUUAAGUCUGUUGCGAAAGCCCCGGGCUCAACCUGGGAAUGGCAAUGGAUACUGGCGAGCUAGAGUGUGUCAGAGGAUGGUGGAAUUCCCGGUGUAGCGGUGAAAUGCGUAGAGAUCGGGAGGAACAUCAGUGGCGAAGGCGGCCAUCUGGGACAACACUGACGCUGAGGCACGAAAGCGUGGGGAGCAAACAGGAUUAGAUACCCCUGUAGUCCCUGUCUCUUAUAA